rnacentral:rRNA from 1 species
AAGACUUUCAGUUUGACACCCCGAAACUAAGUGAGCUACUUUAAAAUAGCCCCCAGAGCCAAUCCGUCUCUGUUGCAAUAGAGUGGAGUAAUUUUUAAGUAGAGGUGAUAAACCUAUCGAACUUAGAGAUAGCUGGUUUUUUAAGAAAAGAAUUUUAGUUCAACCCUUAGUCUUAAAUUACAAAAAUAAUAAAAUUAGACUUAGGAGCUAUUCAAAUAAGGAACAACUUAUUUGAAUCAGGAUACAACCUAGGAUAUAGGGUAAGAUAAAUUAAAUUUUUAACAAGUAGGCCUAAAAGCAGCCAUCUUUAAAAAAGCGUCAAAGCUUAGUUCUAAAAAUUUUUUUAAUACCUACAACUUCUUCUAACCCUUAUUUACUAUUAAAAAAUACCAUAACAUUAUGGAAGCUAUUAUGCUAGAACAAGUAACAAGAAAAAGAUUUUUCUCCAAAAUGUAAGCUUAAGCCACAAUUAGACAAACUACCGGCAAUUAACGUUCGUAAACUAUUUUUAGCAACACCAACAAGAAAACACUACAUUUUUUUAAACGUCAACCUUACACUAGAGCAUUUAUGGAAAGAUUAAAAGAGUGGGAAGGAACUCGGCAAAUACUGAUCCCGCCUGUUUACCAAAAACAUCGCCUCUUGUUGCGAUAUAAGAGGUCCAGCCUGCCCAGUGACCAAAUUUAACGGCCGCGGUACUCUAACCGUGCAAAGGUAGCACAAUCACUUGUUCUUUAAAUGAGGACUAGAAUCAACGGCAUCACGAGGAUCUUACUGUCUCCCCCCUCUAAUCAGUGAAACUAAUCUCCCCGUGAAGAAGCGGGGAUAAAAAUAUAAGACGAGAAGACCCCAUGGAGCUUUAAACCCAAUAACACCCACUUAUUUUAUAUCUUCACAUUUAUAAGGAUAUGUUUAUUUGGUUUUAGGUUGGGGUGACCACGGAGUACAAAAUAACCUCCAUGAAAAAAAGAUUAAUAAUCUUUAUCAGAGAAAUACACCUCCAAGAAUUAAUAAAUUAAUUUCUAAUGAUCCGAUAUUCGAUCAACGAACCAAGUUACCCUGGGGAUAACAGCGCAAUCCAUCUCAAGAGCUCCUAUCGCCAGGUGGGUUUACGACCUCGAUGUUGGAUCAGGGUAUCCUAGUGGUGCAGCAGCUACUAAUGGUUCGUUGU